GCCGGGCGUGGUGGCGGGCGCCUGUAAUCCCAGCUACGCGGGAGGCUGAGACAGGAGAAUCGCUUGAACCCGGGAGGCGGAGGUUGCAGUGAGCCGAGAUCGCGCCACUGCACCCCAGCCUGGGUGACACAGCGAGACUCCAUCUCAA
rnacentral:sRNA from 1 species